AUAUAUAUUUUCGGAGAAUACAUGUGCCUCUUGCAUAUUUGCAUCUUAUAAUGACUAGCUAUAACACUUGUCAUGUUUACAUAUCAUGAUGGCAUUGUGUUUACAUAUCACGAUGACAAUGAUUGUUACCACGUAUGAAUGUCACGCUGGCUUUAAUUUUGAGUACACAACGGUCUUGAUUAUCUUCGUUCACAUCAUUCUUAUCAAUAUUUGUACAUAAUGUACAAAUAUGACUUUUAAAUUAUUUGAUAAAGAGACUCUAAAGAAUUUUCUGGCAGAGAAAUAAUUUAUAUGUUUAUAAUUAAUAAAAUCUAUAAAAUUAUAAUAAAGACAAAAUCCCCUUUAUCAACUUGCGAGUCUCUCCAUUUUCAAAGCUCUAGCCAAUGCCCCAUAUGGAGUAUCUAGCAAUGAUCAAUCACUCAAUAAUAUAAUAUUUGAAUCCUAGCAAAAGCAAUUUUCUGGUAUAUAUAUGUGCGAAUAUUUCUUUUGUUGUAUCUCUAUUUCCAAAAUUAAGUAUAAUUGAACAAAAAUGCACCAGCACCCGGCACCACCCCUUUUGAUGUUUCGUUUUUGUUCAUUUCGCCUCAGACAAUUACCUGACUUUCUUUCUCAUGACCUCAAAUAAUUGAUAGAUAAAGAUGGAAAAAAAAACAUUUUUUUUUUUUUUAAUUUUGAAUCCUUUUUGACGAUCCUGGAAUGAAACCCACUUCCCAUUUCUCUUUCUCUUCUAUUGAACGCCGUUUCUUCAUCCGUAGAGAUUUUUUUUUGUACGAGAGAAACCAUAUCCAGUGUGACCCCAUUGCAUUGGGUUCAUUUUAUUGCUCUUUCAAAGCAAAAUCCAAUGAUAAAAAAAAAAAAAAAAGAAGAAGAAGAAGAAGGGGAGGGGCCCUGGUUGUAAAAAAACAGCAAAUCUAAUCAGAGGACCCCAUUCAAAAAUAGUUUAUUCACAGGAUUUUGUAACAAGGGCCUUAUUAAUAAAUAGUAAAUACCAUAUAAUAAUCAAGGACAGUACUAAUUUCUUUUCACACUUUUUUGUCUUUUCAUUUAUUCUUUAUUUUUUGUUUCCAUGUCUGUUUCACAUCUUUUUCUUACCUUUAUUUUUUUUUUCUUUUAUUCGAUAAAUUAAGGUCUUCAUUGUUUUUGCCAUGGAUCGGUAUAUUUUGCGUGCGGUAAUUUAUAAAUAAUCGCAUAAAUACAGAUAUUAAAAUCUAUAAAAAGGUUGAAAAAGUACAUAAUAUUGAUUACUUGUUUCCAAUAUAAAAUUGAUUUAUACAACAUGUGCUUUGUUAACGUUAAUAACGUGGUGUUCACUCAUCAGAGCUUAAUCAAUAGACAGGUUAUGCGUGAUAUAAUAAUAUUGUUAAGAAUAUUGUAUCAACUAUAGUUUCUUGUAAUUGUCGUGGACUAAGAUAUAUAAAGCAACUAAUCAUUCUCUCCAACAUUUAUUUUUGUGAAAACAAUUACGUCACUUACCGCAUUGAGCUAGAUGGACCACUAAUUAAACAAAAAUCUAACCAAAGCACAGAACUUUAUCCCACUUUUCUUAAAUGCAUGAUGCCCCAAGCCUCUUGUUACCAUUCGUCCAUUCGUGUGGAAGCUAGCUAGAUUCUUGCUGCCUAACGAAUCAGUGUUUAAUUCUAUAUUAUAAUUUUGUUAAUUCUUCUAAUGAUUAUAAUCGACAAAUAUAUUAUUAUCUGGUGUCUAUUAGAACUCUCAAUACCGACAUAUAUAUUACACUAUGACCAUAAUCUGCACGAGACCAAUACUUUUGGCUAAGACCCAUUUGAGAUUACUUUUAGGAGGCUUAAAAGUGAUUUUAAAAAUUUAAAAGUUAAUUUUAGUGUUUGGUAAAAAUCAAAAUCAUUUUUGUCAAAAUUGGUCCCUCCUACAGCUGAUUUUGAAAAGUAGGGAAGGGGUAGCUUUUAUAUUCUGAUUUUGAGAAUCAAUUUUAUCCUUUAAUAUAAUUUCAUAAAUAUCCUUAAACUUAUUACCUAAACCC
rnacentral:lncRNA from 1 species